rnacentral:lncRNA from 1 species
GUUUUAUCUUAGAGUCUCACUUGAGGCUCUGAGAAGUAAAGAAAAACUGCUUAAUUUUGCUUAAUCCAAUUUUCCCAAGCUAACUUUUUCAAGAAAACUUUCCCACUCAUAUAACAACUAGUAACAUCUUCAAGAUUCACAGUAUAUCUUUUAGGAAAAGUAGCUCUCUUGGCUGGAGUUUCUUCAAGUGCCCUAUGGCAGGCUGAAUAAUGGCCCCCAAUAAUGGUCAGAAAUUGAUUUCAAAAUAAUUAAUUUUAAAUGACUUCUGGGAAGAAAGACUUAGAUGCUAUGAAAAUCCAUUCCCUCUUUUUCCGAGAUAUAUAGCUAGAUUACAUUUCUGAGUUUCUCCUAAAGUUCAGUGUAGCUAAUGGAAUGUGAGAGGAAGAGCUAUGCCUCCCUCCCAGGUCUGCCCCAUUAAAUCUCCUAAACCUAAUUCUAUCUGCCCUUUUCCUCCUUGCCUACAACAUAUUGACGCUAGGACAAAAUACCAUAUGGUGAGGAUGGCAGAGCCUCCAUCAUUCUGAAGCCCCAUACAAUUCUGUGGAACCAAACAGGAAAUACCCUGAACUUUUUAUCUGAGAGGGAAAUGGACUCUAAUUGCAUGUGAGGUUUUUACACAUCUUGGGGUAUAUUCGUUGUAGCAGUUAGCCUACCCUAACAAAUAAAAAAUUGGUACAAAUAAAUACUCUUAAUCUAUUAAAGCAGUUCAUAUGCAAAAAGGAUAAGACAAAUGCAGGAUAAUUUUUUAUUUAAAAUAUUUUUAAAAAUUUGGAUAGCUUUUGGAGUACAAGUGGUUUUUGGUUAUAUGGGUGAAUUAUAUAGUGGUGAAUUAUGAGAUUUUAGCGCACCCAUCACCUGAGCAGUGUAUGUUGUACCCAAUAUGUAGUUUUUUUUUUUAUCUCACACUCCUAUCCCUUCCUUCCCAUCUCAGUCUCCAAAAUUCAUUAUAUCACUCCGUAUGCCUUUGUGUACUUAUAGCUUAGCGUUCACUUAUAAGUGAAAACAUAUGGUAUUUGGUUUUCCUUUCCUGGGUU